rnacentral:rRNA from 11 species
UUAUGUAGUAGUAAUUCACUAAAAGCACUAGAUUGCAUCUGAUUUUGGAAGCUAAGCAGGGUCAGCUUUGGGCUAAUGAUGGGAUGGGAAACCACCAAUGAAUCCCAGGUGUUGAGUAGG